rnacentral:rRNA from 1 species
GCAAGUCGAACGGAUGUAGCAAUACAUUAGUGGCGCACGGGAGAGUAACACGUGGGAACCUACCUUUUGGUUCGGAAUAACGUCGGGAAACUGACGCUAAUACCGGAUAAGCCCUAUGGGGGAAAGAUUUAUUGCCGAAAGAUGGGCCCGCGUUAGAUUAGCUAGUUGGUGAGGUAAUGGCUCACCAAGGCUACGAUCUAUAGCUGGUCUGAGAGGAUGACCAGCCUCACUGGGACUGAGACACGGCCCAGACUCCUACGGGAGGCAGCAGUGGGGAAUAUUGGACAAUGGGGGCAACCCUGAUCCAGCCAUGCCGCGUGAAUGAUGAAGGCCUUCGGGUUGUAAAGUUCUUUUGGCGGGGACGAUGAUGACGGUC